AUGAACGCUGGCGGCGUGCUUAACACAUGCAAGUCGAGCGAGAAAGUUUCUUCGGAAAUAAGUAAAGCGGCGAACGGGUGAGUAAUACACAAGAAUCUAUCCCUUAGUGUGGAAUACCUUCGAGAAAUCGAAGUUAAUACCGCAUAAGUCUGAAAAGAGAAAGGCGGCUUUAUGCUGUCGCUAAAGGAGGAGCUUGUGAACUAUCAGCUAGUUGGUGAGGUAAAUGCUUACCAAGGCUAUGACGGUUAACCGGCCUGAGAGGGUGUACGGUCACAUUGGAACUGAGAUACGGUCCAGACUCCUACGGGAGGCAGCAGUGGGGAAUAUUGCGCAAUGGGCGAAGGCCUGACGCAGCGACGCCGCGUGGAGGAUGAAGGUCUUCGGAUUGUAAACUCCUGUCAGGUGGGAAGAAAAGCUUUUUUUUAAUAGAAAGAAGUUAUGACGGUACCAUCAGAGGAAGCACUGGCUAAUCUCGUGCCAGCAGCCGCGGUAAUACGAGAGGUGCAAGCGUUAUUCGGAAUUAUUGGGCGUAAAGGGCGCGUAGGCGGUCUGUUAAGUUUAUUGUUAAAGCCUCUGGCUUAACCAGAGAUAAGCAAUAAAAACUGGCAAACUAGAGUGUGAGAGAGAGAAGUGGAAUUCCCGGAGUAGCGGUAAAAUGCGUAGAUCUCGGGAGGAACACCAAUGGCGAAGGCUGCUUCUUGGUUCACAACUGACGCUGAGGCGCGAAAGCGUGGGGAGCAAACAGGAUUAGAUACCCUGGUAGUCCAUGCUGCAAACGAUAAUCACUAGAUGUUAGUCUGAUUUUUCAGAUUAGUGUCGUAGCUAACGCGUUAAGUGAUUCGCCUGGGGAUUACGGUCGCAAGACUAAAACUCAAAGGAAUUGACGGGGGUCCGCACAAGCGGUGGAACAUGUGGUUUAAUUCGACACUACGCGAGGAACCUUACCUGGGCUUGACAUGCAUAUGACAGUUUCAGAGAUGAAAUCUUCUAAGUUUUUAAUUUAGACAUAUGCACAGGCGCUGCAUGGCUGUCGUCAGCUCGUGUCGUGAGAUGUUGGGUUAAGUCCUUUAACGAGCGCAACCCUUGCCGUCAGUUGCAACUGCCUUUUUAGGUAAAGCACUCUGGCGGGACUGCCUGGGAAACCAGGAGGAAGGUGGGGACGACGUCAAGUCAUCAUGGUCCUUAUGUCCAGGGCUACACACGUGUUACAAUGGCUAAGUACAAAGGGACGCCACACUGUAAGGUGGAGCAAAUCUCUAAAAUUAGUCUAAGUUCAGAUUGAGGUCUGCAACUCGACCCCAUGAAGUUGAAAUCGCUAGUAAUCGCAUAUCAGAACGAUGCGGUGAAUACGUUCUCGGGCCUUGUACACACCGCCCGUCACAGCAUGAGAGCUGUUUGUACCCGAAACCAUUUUAGCCAACCUGUAAAGGAGGCGGAUGUCUAAGGUGUGAAUGGUGAUUGGGCUG
rnacentral:rRNA from 1 species